rnacentral:rRNA from 1 species
CAGUAGCCACGGUAAAACGUAGGUCCCGAGCGUUGUCCGGAUUUAUUGGGCGUAAAGCGAGCGCAGGCGGUUAGAUAAGUCUGAAGUUAAAGGCUGUGGCUUAACCAUAGUACGCUUUGGAAACUGUUUAACUUGAGUGCAAGAGGGGAGAGUGGAAUUCCAUGUGUAGCGGUGAAAUGCGUAGAUAUAUGGAGGAACACCGGUGGCGAAAGCGGCUCUCUGGCUUGUAACUGACGCUGAGGCUCGAAAGCGUGGGGAGCAAACAGGAUUAGAUACCCCGGUAGUCCCUGUCUCUUAUACA